AGAAUCAACGCUGGCGGCGUGCCUAACACAUGCAAGUCGAACGAGAAAGUGGAGCAAUCCAUGAGUAAAGUGGCGCACGGGUGAGUAACACGUGACUAACCUACCCUUGAGUGGGGGAUAACCUAGGGAAACCUGGGCUAAUACCGCAUAAUACCUUCGGGUCAAAGGAGCAAUUCGCUUAAGGAGGGGGUCGCGGCCGAUUAGUUAGUUGGCGGGGUAAUGGCCCACCAAGACUGUGAUCGGUAUCCGGCCUGAGAGGGCGCACGGACACACUGGAACUGAAACACGGUCCAGACUCCUACGGGAGGCAGCAGUGGGGAAUUUUGCGCAAUGGGGGAAACCCUGACGCAGCAACGCCGCGUGGAGGAUGAAGUCCCUUGGGACGUAAACUCCUUUCGAUCGGGACGAUUAUGACGGUACCGGAAGAAGAAGCCCGGCUAACUUCGCGCCAGCAGCCGC
rnacentral:rRNA from 1 species